GAUUUGGCUAUGUCAUGUAUCACCUCAUUGAUUGCCAGGGUUAAUAUAGCUCACCUGGCUGUUAAGACAUGUGUCAUCUUCUU
rnacentral:sRNA from 1 species